GAUUCGUCACACUAUCAUUAACUGAAUCCAUAGGUUAAUGAGGCGAACCGGGGGAACUGAAACAUCUAAGUACCCCGAGGAAAAGAAAUCAACCGAGAUUCCCCCAGUAGCGGCGAGCGAACGGGGAGGAGCCCAGAGCCUGAAUCAGCAUGUGUGUUAGUGGAAGCGUCUGGAAAGGCGCGCGAUACAGGGUGACAGCCCCGUACACAAAAGCGCAUGUGCUGUGAGCUCGAUGAGUAGGGCGGGACACGUGGUAUCCUGUCUGAAUAUGGGGGGACCAUCCUCCAAGGCUAAAUACUCCUGACUGACCGAUAGUGAACCAGUACCGUGAGGGAAAGGCGAAAAGAACCCCGGCGAGGGGAGUGAAAAAGAACCUGAAACCGUGUAC
rnacentral:rRNA from 2 species